CGGACGGGUGAGUAACACGUGGGAACGUGCCUUUUGGUUCGGAAUAACUCAGGGAAACUUGUGCUAAUACCGAAUGUGCCCUUCGGGGGAAAGAUUUAUCGCCAUUAGAGCGGCCCGCGUCUGAUUAGCUAGUUGGUGAGGUAAAGGCUCACCAAGGCGACGAUCAGUAGCUGGUCUGAGAGGAUGAUCAGCCACAUUGGGACUGAGACACGGCCCAAACUCCUACGGGAGGCAGCAGUGGGGAAUCUUGCGCAAUGGGCGAAAGCCUGACGCAGCCAUGCCGCGUGAAUGAUGAAGGUCUUAGGAUUGUAAAAUUCUUUCACCGGGGACGAUAAUGACGGUACCCGGAGAAGAAGCCCCGGCUAACUUCGUGCCAGCAGCCGCGGUAAUACGAAGGGGGCUAGCGUUGCUCGGAAUUACUGGGCGUAAAGGGAGCGUAGGCGGACAUUUAAGUCAGGGGUGAAAUCCCGGGGCUCAACCUCGGAAUUGCCUUUGAUACUGGGUGUCUUGAGUAUGAGAGAGGUAUGUGGAACUCCGAGUGUAGAGGUGAAAUUCGUAGAUAUUCGGAAGAACACCAGUGGCGAAGGCGACAUACUGGCUCAUUACUGACGCUGAGGCUCGAAAGCGUGGGGAGCAAACAGGAUUAGAUACCCUGGUAGUCCACGCCGUAAACGAUGAUUGCUAGUUGUCG
rnacentral:rRNA from 1 species